GAUUUAACAUUGAGACUUAACCUAAAGACUUAAUUGUAGAGACUUAACCCUAAGACUUAUCCCUAAGGCUUAACCCUAAGACUUAACUCUAAGGCUCAUCCUUAAGACUUAACCCUAAGACUCAACCUUAUGACUUGACCUUAAGACUUAAACUAAAUACUUAACCCUAAGACAUAACCAUAAGUCUUAAAACUGAACCUUAAAAUUUAACCUUAGGACUUAACCUAAAGUCUUAACUCUAAGACUUAACCCUAAGACUCAACUUUAAGACUUAACCCUAAGACUCAACCUGAAAAAUUAACCUUAAAACUUAACUCUAAGACUUUACCCUAAGACAAAAACUUUAGACUUAACCUUAAUAUUUACCCUAAGACUUAAACCUGAGACUGAACCCUAAGACUUAACCCUAAGACUUACCUAUAAGACUUAACGCUAAGACUGAAUCUUAAGACUUAACCCGUAAGACUCAACCUUAUUAAUUAACCUUAAGACUUAACCCUAAGACUUAAGCCCAAGACUCAACCUCUAAGACUUAACCUUAAGACAUAACCUUAAGACUAAAACCUAAGACUUAUCCAUGAGACUUUAACUCUGUCUUAAACUAGAGACGUAUCGCUAAGAGUUAACUGUAAAGACUCAACCUUAAGACUUAACGCGGACACUUAACACUAAGACUUAACCCUAAGAGUUCACAUUGAGACUUAACCUAAAGACUUAACCCUAAGACUUAACUAUAAGAUUAACUCUAAGGCUCAACUUUCAGACUCAACCUUUAAGACUUCAUCUUAUAGCUUAACUCUAAGACUUAACUCUAAGACUGAACCUUAAGACCUAACCCUAAGACACAACCUUAAGAAUUAACCUUAGGACUUUAUUCUAAAACUUAACCCUAAGAAUUAACCCUAAGACUCAACCUUAAGACUUAACCCUAAGACUCAACCCUAAGACUCAACCUUAAGAUUUAACUCUAAGACUUAACUCUAAGACUGAACCUUAAGACUUAACCCUAAGACACAACCUUAACAAUUAACCUUAAGACUUAACUCUAAAACUUAACCCUAAGAAUUAGCCUUAAGACUCAACCUUAAGACUUAACCCUAAGAUUUAACCUUAAGACUUAACCCUAAGUCUUAACCCAAAUACUUAACCCUAAGACUCAACCCUAAAAAUUGUCAUUGAGACUUAACCUAAAGACUUAACCCUAGAGAUUUAACCCUAAGACUUAUCCCUGAUCCUUAAUACUAAGACUUAACUCUAAGUCUCAACCUUAAGGCUUAAUCCUAAGACUCAACCUUAAGACUUAAACUAAGGACUUAACCCUAAAGACUCAACCCUAAGAUUUAACAUUGAGACUUAACCUAAAGACUUAAUUGUAGAGACUUAACUCUCUUAACCCUAACACAUAACCUUAAUACUUAACCUUAUGUCUUUAACCCUAAGACUUAACUUUAAGACUCAACCUUAAGACUUAUCCCUAAGGCUGAAUCCUAAGACCUAACCCUAAGUCUUAACCUUAAGACUUAAUCUUUAAGACUUAACCCUAAGACUUAACCUUAAAACUUAACCCUAAGAUAUAACCCUGAGACUUUACUCUAAGACUUAACCUUGAGAUUUAACCUUAAUACUUAACCUUAAGACUUAACCAUAAGACUGAACCCUCAGGCUUAACCCUAACACUUAACCUUAAGACAUAGUGCUAAGAUCUAACCCUAAGACUUAAACCUCAGUCUUAACCUUAAGACUUAACCCUAAGAACUAAGCUAAUGACCUAACCCUAAGUCUGAAUUCUAAGUCAUAAACAUGUCUUCACCCUAUGACUUAACAUUAAGACCUAAUCCUAAAACUUAACCUAAGACUUAACCCUGAGACUUAACCCUACGACUUAACUUUAAGACAUAACCAUAAGACUUAACCUUAAAAAUUAACAUUAAGAUUUACACCAAAGGCUUAACCCUAAGACUUAACCCUAAGACUCAACCUUAAGAGUUAACCCUAAUAUUUAACCUUAGGACUUAACCCUAAGACUUAUUCCUAAGACUUAACACUAUGAUUUAAACCUAAGACUCGACCUUGAGAUUUAACCCUAAGUCUCAACGUUAAGACUUAAACCUAAGACUCAAUGUUAAGAAUUAUCCUUAAGAGUUAACCCUAUGAAUUAACCUUAAGACUUCACCCUAAGACUUAACCUAAGUCUUAACCCUAAGACUCAACCUUAAGGCUUAACCUUAAGACUUAACCCUAAGUCUUAACCCUAAGACUUAACCUUAAGACUUAACCCUAAGACUUAACCCCAGGACUCAACCUCUAAGUCUUAACCCUAAGACUCAACCUUAAUACUUAACCUUAAGACUUAACCCUAAGAGUCAACGUUAAGACUUAUCCUUAACUCUUAUCCCUAUGUCUUAACCUUGAGACUUAACCAUAAGUCUUUAACCUAAAGGCCUACCCCUAAGACUUAACCCUAAGACUUAACUCUAAGAUUUAACCCUAAACUCAACCUUAAUCAAUCUUAACCUUAAUACUUAACCCUAAGUUUUAGGGUUUAGUCCUACCACCAUGUCUUAUAUUUAAGUUUUAAAUAUUAAGUUUCUAGGGUAACCAUAAAGGUAAUCCUAUCCUUAACCUAAGCCUAACCAUAACCUAACCCUAACCCUAACCCCAACUCUAAGCCUAAGACUAAGACUAAGCCUAACCUUAACGCUAACCCUAACCCUAACCCGAUCCCUAACCCUAACCCUAACCCUUAACCUAACCCUAACCCUAACCCCAACUCUAAGCCUAAGACUAAGAUUAAGCCUAAAACUAAGCCUAACCCUAACCCUAAUCUAACCUUAAUGCUAACCCUAACCCUAACCCUAACCAUAACUGUAACCGUAACCCUAACCCUAAACCUAACCCUAACUCUAAGCAUAACUAACCCUAACCCUAACCUAACCCUAACCCUAAACCUAACCCUAACCCUAACUUAACCUUAACGCUAACUCUAACCCUAAACCUAACUCUAACCCUAACCCUAACUUAACCUUAAUGCUAACUCUAACCCUAACCUAACCUUAAUGCUAACUCUAACCCUAACCCUAACCCCAACCCUAAUCCUAACCCUAACCCUACCUCUAAGCAUAACUAACCCUAACCCUAACUUAACGCUAACUCUAACCCUAACCCUAAACCUAACCCUAACCCUAACUGUAAACCUAACCCUAACCCUAACCCCAACCCUAAACCUAACCCUAACCCUAUAACCUAACUCUAACCCUAACCAUAACCUAACCAUAACCCUAACCGUAAACCUAACCCUAAUCCUAAUCCUAACCCUAACUGUAAACCUAACCCUAACUCUAACCUAACCCUAACCCUAACCCUAACCCCAACCCUAACCCUAACCCUAACCCUAACCCUAACGCUAACACGCAUGCACAAUGGCGUUAAUGGCAAACUAAGGUCAGCGCAUGUGCAGAAUGGGCCUGCCGCUACGGGGCGUGGUUUCAGGCGGCGCAUGCGCUUUACGACAUGGGCUUUUACGCAUGCGCAGUCGGGUUUUGUUGCACGCCAAGAGCAGCGCAUGCGCACAAUUGGCUUGACGCCUAGGGGCGGGGGUUGUGGCUACGCAUGCGUAGUAGCUUUUCUGGCAGACAUGGGCAGCGCAUGCGCAGAUUGCGCUGGACGCUUAGGGGCAGGGCUUGUGGCUACGUAUGGUUAUUACGAAAUCGGCUUUUACGCCUGCAUAAUAUAGUUUUUGGCAAACGAAGGGCAGCGCAUGCGCAGCAUCGGCUGAUGCCUUGGGGCGGGGUUUCCGGCUACGUACGCGUAUGGGCUUACGCAUACGGCGCCGGAAGGUGGGUUCAUUUCUGGCCCGCGCGGCGCGAUGGAGCGGCUGAGGUGGUGCGGGGCUUCCCCAGGAGCCUGGAAGACUUUAGGGCUGGGAAGACUUUCGGGCGGCGCGCUGGGUACAUCGGGAAUUGUACGCUGACAAAUCAAGGGGAGCUAAACUGAAAUUUGAGCAUCGAUGCCAUGGAUGUAACAGGAGAGCAGCAGCAGGACGUAGAGCACAAGCUGUUUAAACAACACUUGGAUAAAGCUGCCAAUUGUGUGACUCCAGAAGCUGAGAGACACGGUAAGAUGCUAUUCUGCCAUUCUUGGAUGGAUGCUCUCAUAGCCUUUCCAUCACCGUAUGCCUGCUAUGAUAUUCCUGGGGACGAGGGACGGCUGAAUUCACAGCGUUUUAAACACCACAAACUCUUGAAGAGUUUAUAGGACACAAAUCUAUUACACUGGCAGAUCAGACAAGCUCCUCUGUGUGUGUGUAUAUAUUAUACUCGGUACUUAUGCGAGGCAAGUCUUUGCCUCGUCCCUCUGAAACUGGGACAAGGACCCAUUGAUGCAUUUCAGGAGCAAAGCUGCUGAGUGAGCAGGCUUUUCCUACUAGAAAUCAAGCAGCUGCUCUGGCGAAACUUGACUUUGGUUGCAUCUUUAAAUCCUAGAAGGCUGACAAACGGGACAAGCUGGUUAGAGGAAAGAGCCUCUCUCCAGGGAAGGCUCCGCUGACUUGACCCUUAAGCCUAAAAUUGUGUCUUACUAUGUUUGCUUUGUGUGUGUUAAUGCAUACCCGAUUCAUAGAUUUCAGUUGAUUUAUCAGUUACAUGUUGGAGUAAAUGGUCCUUGGCUACAUAAACCUCUCCUCUGUAUUUUUUUUACAUGUUAUGGCUUACUGUUCUACUUCAAUACAACCCGGGAACAAUUCUGGUAGUGUUGCAAUCUAAUGGUAAUACUGUCCUCACUUUGUCUUUCUAAAAUGUGAGGUCCUUAUUAUCUGUUCUGGGAGAUAGUGUAGUUCUGUAUAUUGGCAUGAACUAAAUUUGCUGAUUUGUUGUAACUCGGAUUUAACUUUUCUGUUCUUAAAUGCUGAAAGGCUAAACUAAGCCAAGAGCUGAACAAUGAGUAGGUACAAGAGCUUCUCCUGUUGCCACAGAAGUGUGGUGAUAGCGUUCUUACUGUUGUGUCACUUAGCAGCCUUUCUGUAUUCAGAGGCUGUGGCGUGACGAAUGUAAUGUCUGGGGUCAAACCCCGCUUUUCUGUAUCUAAUUCUCUGUUAACACAUGUAGGCCUCCUGCCUUGCUUAUGUUGCCAGCCUCCACUGGGAUUACUUGGUCUGAACUGGUUGCUCUCGCUCCUUAUAUUAUCAACUGAGAGGAAGAGAAACUUGCAGGGAGCAAACAGUCUCAUCCAAGAGAGGCAUUUUGAAAGCGAUCAAAUUCCAUUGCAUGCAACAAGCAAUUUCUUCUGCUGUCUGGAAAAAGUAUAUGGCUAGUUUGAUUUCCACCACACGUGUGGCAAGUUAGAUUGGAAGUGUACACCCAUCUUCGUGAAACUCUACGAUUGUUUCUGUUAGUAACACUUGAUGUUCAGUCAGUUAUUUAAAUGGCAACUAUAGCAGUAUUGACUGGUAAAGGAAAAAUCCACACAGACAUGGUUACCGCUGGGCUUGCUUUAGUCACGACUCAAGAGUUCGGCCACCACCCCAGUGAGUGGCAGAGAACCAAGGGAUACAGCACAGCUUAUAUACGCUUAUCAGAUCAUUAGUCAAUGUCUGAAGUUUUUAGGAGUUUCCUUUUAUCCUGUCAGUUCUGUGAAUCCAUCACCUGACUCUGUCCCAGUUGAUUCACCUGCUUGGUUCCAGUCUUUGCCUCAGUUCCAGGCUCCUCCUGGGAUCAUGGUCUUCAUUCUGCCAGCUUUAACUCACACGCUCUUUCAAGCACAGUUAGUCUUUGAACAAGCAAUUCCUAUUCACAUACACCAAUUUCUCUAAAAACACCUGUGUUUCUGAGAGCACCUGUGUCCACAAAUUGAUCAUCUGUUGUUUCUCUGUUCUGCCACCGAUUAACUGGACUGGGUGUUAAACCAGCCUUGGAUUAGGGCUACGCUAGGGACAAGGCCUGGUUCUGCCACUUAGCUGCUUCAGCACAUUAAAUUUCUUAGUUAAAAAUACAUUUUCUUUAAUGUUGACCUUAAAUUUAGUAAAGCAUACCUAAAUAUUAUGGGGUAGUAUGUGGAGGCUUUUCCUGAUCAUAGUUACGUUAAAAUAGUUAAUAGCUUAAUGAUUUCUAUGGUAGGUUGCAUUCUGUGCUGGGAUGUCAUCUCAUUCAUUUCCAUUGAAUGGCAAUAGAGGAUUGAACUUUUUAUGGGUGGUUCUUACUGUUUCCUUUCUUUUAACAUGGGCAGAGUUUUCCAGUGUCACACGUCGUAUCUGCAUGCAAGUUGAGGACUGUAGCUCAUUCCUGGCAGAACAAGGGCAUACUGUACCCUUGCAGGAGUUGGACAACCGUGGCCUGUAGAUUACAAAGUUACUUUGAAGAUCUUGUAUUAUCCUUGAAUAGGCAGAAUAAAGAAUAAUGAGCAUUGUACAAGAACAAAGCCGGAUGCCAAGCAAGAUAUGAAAAUUGCUAAGUUAGCGCAUCCUUAUUAGGUGCUUGCAGCAUGACAACCAAUCAACAAGUAACGUGAAUACGUAAUUGUUAACCAAUCCACAAAUAACAUGAAUAUGUAAUUAACAACCAAUCAACAAGUAACCUGAAUACUUAAUUGCAGUCCAGUCAACAAGUAAUAUGAAGACGUAGUUGCAAUCAGCUAACCAAUGAUUGUUACCAUGUGAGCAGUGCAUUAGAAGUAUAAAUAUGACUAAGUUGCUGAAUAAAGUAGGAUGACACGUAGCCAUAUUGGUGUGAUUGUUGUUACUCGGCUGACUCUCCGAUUUGGGACCCUCUUCAGAGGACCAUGUUAACAGCAAGAAACUUUGCAUGUGGAUUUUUAUGUACUGCAGUUUCUUUAUAGUACCUAAGCUGUCUGCAGUACCUCGGUGCUGUCCGAGACAACUUGACAGGCAGCUACCGAUUGCAUUCAGAAAGCUGUUACUAGUUGCUCUAUUUUGAAAGUGUGUUGUACAGGUGUCCUUCUUCAAAUGGUAGGAGCCAUGGCUUUGACAAAGCAUAGGAAUUACUAAGCUGCAUUCUUCCUGACGCUAUCUUUUAGUGUAAUUACAGGAUCAAAACCCAUACCAGUUGAAUUCUUAAGUGUAUUUUCAACUUGUUUGAAUGUUGUAAGCUGUAGAAAGUAAGUCUCAUACAGUUGCUUAACAAUGGGUGUAUUUUCCUAAAAGUUUUUAUUUGCUUGAUCAUAACUACCAUAAAGUAUUUGAUUAAAGAAGUAAGGUUAAUGAUUGCUUUUCAUGCAUAUUUCAUACUUUCUAAUUAAAAUCUCUUUUUUUUU